rnacentral:lncRNA from 1 species
AAACAACAUAUUGGAUUCACGAAUUAUAGUUUUAAAAGUAGGCAAUUUUUACAAAUAGCUAUUUUAAAUUUUUUUUUUGUCACAAAAUAACUCAAAAAAAUGACCAAAAUAACUUUUUUUUUAUUUUGAAAUUUUAAAUAUUUAUUUUUAUUUUUUUUAAUUUGAAACCCUAAUCUCAAAAUCAUACUCCUUAACUCUAAAAAGACUAUCCUAGAAAAAUGUUCUUUAAAAGUUCAUUGUUUUAGACAUUUGUCCAUAUACGACAUGUUUAGUUUGACAGAUUCUUAAAGUAUAAUGUAGUAUUAUAAUUUAAAUUAUAAUUCAUUACAAUGUAUGUUACACUUAACAUUUACUAAUUGUGUAGCCCAUAAUUUAUUUCAACAUUAUGAAUGUUCAAUUACAAAGUUACCAUUUUUAAAUAGCAAGCCCUUUAUCAAAAAAAAAAAAAAAGUUACCAUUUUUAAUCAAAUCGUACUAUAAAAAUCUAAACCAACAUGUAAAUUAAAUUUUAAAGUCAAAUGCAAAAAAAUUUUCCAUCCCGCGGGUCUCAACCUAGUAUGUUAUCAAAAAGGAAGAGUAAUAGUUAUAUGUUAAAUAAGUACUAAUUAUUUGUCAAUAAGUAUUGUAUCCAUCAUCAAUUAUCGUAAUAAUACGUAACUUUAAGGUAUAUGAAGCGUUUUUGGUAAAAAAAAAUGGUUCAUUAAGUUAUGUUUCAUCCCCA